AGGCAAGAACAGCCGGAGCCGAAGGGAAACCGAGUCUGAACAGGGCGCGGGCCAGCACUAGAUGUUGGUCGAAGUAGCAAGGAGUAGACACGAAACCAGGUGAGCCACCCAUGGUCAGGCUGAAGCGAGGCUAACCCCUCGUGGAGGGCCGAACCUUUCACUGUUGCAAAAGUGUGGGAUGAACUGUGGGUAGAGGUGAUAUGCCAAACGAACUUGGAGAUAGCUUGUUCUCCCCGAAAUAGCUUUAGGGCUAGCCUCGUGGGAUGAGUUAUGGAGGUAGAGCACUGGAUGGGCAAGGGGGCGCAAGCCUACCGCACCCAACCAAACUCCGAAUGCCAUGACUAGAAGAACACGGGAGUCGGACUGCGAAUGAUGAGAUCCGUAGUCGAGAGGGAAAGAGCCCAGACCGUCGGCUAAGGUCCCGAAGUGCAAGCUAAGUGGGAAACGAUGUGGGAUUGCAGAGACAGCCAGGAGGUUGGCUUAGAAGCAGCCACCCUUAAAAGAGUGCGUAAUAGCUCACUGGUCAAGCGAUCUUGCGCGGAAAAUGUAACGGGGCUAAAGCUUGCCACCGAAGCCACGGAGGUCGAUUCUAGGAAUCGGCCUGGUAGGGGAGCGUCGUGUGACCGCAGAAGCUGUACUGUAAGGAGCAGUGGAGGUCACAGGAGUGAGAAUGCUGGCAUGAGUAGCGUAAAAUACGUGAGAACCGUAUUCGCCGAAAGCCCAAGGGUUCCGACGGAAGGUCAGUCCGCGUCGGGUUAGUCGGGCCUAAGCCGAGGCCGAAAGGCGUAGGCGAUGGACAUCCGGUUAAUAAUCCGGAACCACCAAAGCAGAGCGAAGGGGAGACGCAGCAGGGUAGAUCAACCCCCCGGAUGGAAGAGGGGGGCCAAGCGUGUAGGCUGAAGAUGGGUGCAGGCAAAUCCGCACCCGGAGGUCGAGGCGCGAAGGGGACGCAAAAGAGCGGAAGUGAUUGACCCCAGCUGCCAAGAAAAGCCUCUAAGUGAUGAAGCUUAGGUGACCGUACCGCAAACCGACACAGGUGGGCAGGUAGAGGAUACCAAGGCGAACGGGAGAACCUUCAUCAAGGAAUUAGGCAAAUUAACCCCGUAACUUCGGGAGAAGGGGUGCCCUUGUGUGUGAGACCCGAACGGGAGGAGCACAUGGGGGUCGCAGUGACAAGGCUUUAGCGACUGGUUACCAAAACCACAGGUCUCUGCAAACUCGAAAGAGGACGUAUAGGGGCUGACACCUGCCCAGUGCCGGAAGGUUAAGGGGAAGGGUUAGGCCGCGUGAGAACGCGGUUGAAGCUCAGAACCGAAGCCCCGGUGAACGGCGGCCGUAACUAUAACGGUCCUAAGGUAGCGAAAUUCCUUGUCGGGUAAGUUCCGACCCG
rnacentral:rRNA from 1 species